GCAUCGGUGGUGUAUGGUGCACACCUCCUUACACUGCUUCGUCGUCCCAAAUCUGACAGGAGGAGGACGGGGUUCGACUCCCUGCCGAUGCA